rnacentral:rRNA from 1 species
UCGAAAAUGUUGUCUCUCUUGAGUGGAUCCUGAGUACGACGGAGCACGUGAAAUUCCGUCGGAAUCUGGGAGGACCAUCUCCUAAGGCUAAAUACUCUCUAGUGACCGAUAGUGAACCAGUACCGUGAGGGAAAGGUGAAAAGCACCCCGGAAGGGGAGUGAAAUAGAACCUGAAACCGUGUGCUUACAAGUAGUCAGAGCCCGUUAAUGGGUGAUGGCGUGCCUUUUGUAGAAUGAACCGGCGAGUUACGAUUUGAUGCAAGGUUAAGCAGUAAAUGUGGAGCCGUAGCGAAAGCGAGUCUGAAUAGGGCGUUUAGUAUUUGGUCGUAGACCCGAAACCAGGUGAUCUACCCUUGGUCAGGUUGAAGUUCAGGUAACACUGAAUGGAGGACCGAACCGACUUACGUUGAAAAGUGAGCGGAUGAACUGAGGGUAGCGGAGAAAUUCCAAUCGAACCUGGAGAUAGCUGGUUCUCUCCGAAAUAGCUUUAGGGCUAGCCUCAAGUGAUGAUUAUUGGAGGUAGAGCACUGUUUGGACGAGGGGCCCCUCUCGGGUUACCGAAUUCAGACAAACUCCGAAUGCCAAUUAAUUUAACUUGGGAGUCAGAACAUGGGUGAUAAGGUCCGUGUUCGAAAGGGAAACAGCCCAG